rnacentral:lncRNA from 1 species
CAAGUAGACGAACUCCAUCUCCUUCAGAUGUCGGAGAUGCUCUGGGAGGUACUCUGCAUAAAAGGCUGCUAGGAACUGUUUCCAAGUAACUGCAAUGGGCAGGGUGGUCUGCUUGAGUUCCCACCAGCGGUCUGCUUCUCCCACUAGCAUGUAGGUAGCAAGGGUGACCUUCUGCUCAGAAGUCACCCCUAAGGUCUUGAAGGCCUUAUCUGUCUCUGCCAACCAGUACUCAGCAUCUUCAAAAGAGGAUCCCCCUAUAAAAGUGGAAGGGUUUAGUCUCUUGUACCUCUCUAUGUAGUCCGGGUCAAUCAUGGGAGGAACUGGGUCCCGUGAAAAAGGGACUGAGCCAGGCUGAUGGUAGACUGGGGGGCCCUGUGGUGGUACUUGUUAAUACGGCG